CCUACGGGCGGCAGCAGUGGGGAAUAUUGGACAAUGGGGGGAACCCUGAUCCAGCCAUGCCGCGUGUGUGAAGAAGGCCCUCGGGUUGUAAAGCACUUUCAGUGAGGAAGAACGCCUGGUGGUUAAUACCCAUCAGGAAAGACAUCACUCACAGAAGAAGCACCGGCUAACUCCGUGCCAGCAGCCGCGGUAAUACGGAGGGUGCGAGCGUUAAUCGGAAUUACUGGGCGUAAAGCGCGCGUAGGUGGCUUGAUAAGCCGGUUGUGAAAGCCCCGGGCUCAACCUGGGAACGGCAUCCGGAACUGUCAAGCUAGAGUGCAGGAGAGGAAGGUAGAAUUCCCGGUGUAGCGGUUAAAUGCGUAGAGAUCGGGAGGAAUACCAGUGGCGAAGGCGGCCUUCUGGACUGACACUGACACUGAGGUGCGAAAGCGUGGGUAGCAAACAGGAUUAGAUACCCGAGUAGUC
rnacentral:rRNA from 1 species